UACAGAGGGGGCAAGCGUUGUUCGGAAUUACUGGGCGUAAAGGGCGCGUAGGCGGCCUUCUAAGUCGAACGUGAAAUCCCCGGGCUCAACCCGGGAACUGCGUCCGAUACUGGAAGGCUUGAAUUCGGGAGAGGGAUGUGGAAUUCCAGGUGUAGCGGUGAAAUGCGUAGAUAUCUGGAGGAACACCGGUGGCGAAGGCGGCUUUCUGGGCCUUACCUGACGCUGAGACGCGAAAGCGUGGGGAGCGAACCGG
rnacentral:rRNA from 1 species